GUCCUCAUUCACAGUGACAGCCAUCACAAGCGAAGCGAUCGAUCCCAUAUUAGCCAUGUACUGAGCAUGACACCCGUGAGGUGCUCUUAAGGUUGACCCACAAAGGCUAGGAGGCUGAAGCAAUUGCCUAUCCCUGAUCACCCUAACAGAAGGAGCGGUACAGUCGCAUAUCAUUCUCACCUUAUUCUUCAUGAAUAGAAACCUCGAUGCUUGCGG
rnacentral:misc_RNA from 1 species